GACCUGGCCGGGCGGUCCGCCUCACGGUGUGUACUGUCUGGCUGGGUUCUACCUCUUGGUGAGCCGGCAUGCCCUUCACUGGGUGUGUCGAGGAACCAGGACUGUUACCUUGAGAAAAUUAGAGUGUUCAAAGCAGGCCUAUGCCUGAAUACGUUAGCAUGGAAUAAUGAAAUAGGACGUUCGAUCCUAUUUUGUUGGUUUCUAGGAUUGACGUA
rnacentral:rRNA from 1 species